rnacentral:lncRNA from 1 species
UUGCAUGCUUGACACGGUAUCUCAGACUAGCUUCAAUGUGAGACAUUAAUACCAUCUAUUUAAGUGUCUUACUAUCACAUUCAUCUGCACUUGCAAAAUACUUUUCAUCUCCAAAUACUUUUAUCUUCACUCACUUUCAUCUGCACUUGCAAAAUACUUUUCAUCUCCAAAAUGUCAUCUUCAUCAUUAUACAGUAUCAACGUUCACUGCAACGGUGAAACUUUUGAGUCUGAGCUUCAUG